UCACUAUUCAUCACUGUUCACCCGUGACAGACAAACUCUAUCAAAGCCGCCAAAUGAACAGUAAUGAACAGUAAUGAAUAGUUAGUGGGCUCCACAUGUUUAUUCUUUUAUUCUUUUAUAACACUCCCCCUUGGAGACCACUAAUGAUAUGUCGGUUGUAUCUUUAAAGACUUGCUUGGAGAAAACCUAGUAAGGUAGAGAACUGAUGGAAAGAAGAGUACAACAAUCUGUAUAGCAUACUUCUGGAUGCUCCCCCUGAUUAAUAUCUCCCCCUGAUGUCUUCAUGACUAUCUUUUGGAUUGAGAAUCUUUCGGAGUGAGUGGAUGAUGUAGCCACCAACAAUUCAUAUAGUAAAUAUAUUUCCAGUGAGCUAUCUCUAUGUAAAUCAUAGAAAUUUUCAGAGUCCGCAUAUUUAAUAACGCUUGGGCUAUUUAUAAGUUCACUUGAAAGAAUAUGCCCAUACAUGGUGUUAUGCGGAAAUAGCAUCAAAUAUAUCUCACAUCAUCCCAAAAUGAUGGUGAUGGAGUUGAGCCUUAUCUGGAAAAUAUGAUGUCCGGUCCAACAUACUUCCGGAAAAUCCUUAAAGUGCCCAACGGAUAAUCCUCAUAAAAAUGCUUCAAUACUUUCUUAGUAUAAGCAAGUAUCUCGUUGGCAUAAUGCUCGAUCUUUAAGUCGAGACAAAUAUUUCUGGAAUUCUUGAGAAGCUUUAAUGUGUUGCAAACACAUUAUAAUCAAUAUACUCACUGAGGCAAUUUAUGUACAUUAACAUUGAGUACAGAUUUUGUGCUUCAGGCACAUGUCCACAGACUUGCUUCAUGCAAUUUCAAUCCUUUCAAGGAUUUUGUUUAAAGGGAUUAAACUCUAUGACACAUUAUAUAGCUUUAACCCAGCUAUUUAUAUAUCUUUAGGGAAUCACUUCAGGUGAUAUGCUCUGUGCAUUUAAUAACCCUUAAAGAUAACAUGUUGGUCUCCGUAAAUGUGCAAUAAAGGGGCACAAUUGAAUCUAUAAAUAUGGAGAAAACCCAACAUCCCUUGUUUAUGUCAAAAACAUUGUGUCAUACAAAGUAGGUAUAUUCCCUUUUUAUUCCGAACACCCAAGUAUAACUUUUAAUAUUAACAUCUUUUAGGGUUCGUACUGUGGGUUUAUUCUUUCACGUUCAUUCUCAUCUAUAAUGGAAUUGCCUCAUUCCAUUUUGGCCAAUGAUAUUGUCGACAUUUAAUAAUUGAACGUGGUUCCAAUCAACACAGCCCAUUGAUGAUUUGAGUAGCUACUCCAAAAUCAAAAAUUGUCAUUCAUCAAUUCAUGAUCAAAAAUUGUCAUUCAUCAAUUCAUGAUCCCACCAUUCUCAUUUGCAUGCGCAUGCAUCAAUUAUAAGCAUUUCUUUGCUUUUGGGUACCCAAGCCACUUCAUGAGGCUUUUAUUAUGUGAGAAUGUGGAUUAUAACCUCUAUUGGAGCGUUAUUUUACAUAGGGCGUGGAAAAUCUCCAUUUAGGGAGUUGGAACAUUUAGAACCCAUAUAUCUGUCAUGCUGCAAACAUGCCACAGAUUAAUACAUACAUGUCAAUUAAUUUAUGGGACUUUAACCCAUAUAAUUUGCUACGCAUUAGGCGUGCAUAAUAUCAAUAUUGACAUGUCAAAGGAUUGUCCUUUCGGGACUUCAAUCCAUAUCAUUUGCUACGCAACAGGCGUGCACCCAUAUUGAUCACUGCUAUACUCAUAUUCUGUUCUUAUGGGACUUUAAUCUGUGCAGUGUAUUAUCAAUGUAUCCAACUUGCAAUCUGUAAAAUUUGCGUUAAUAAUUCAUGGAUACAUACAAGCCAUUCUUUUGGAACGGACUUAUCUCCCAAUUUGGUUACCUUUCAAGAUAAAAUAUCAAAUAGGUAUAUAAGCAUAAAAUAACACAAGUAUUGCUUACAUCCUUAGGUGGGAGAAACUUUUCUCAAGUAUCAUUCAAGCUCGUAUCGGCCCAGUAAAUAUAAAGUAUCGCUUGAUGAUCUUGUUAUAUCCUGCAAGAGCAAAAAUCACAAUUCUCUUCUCUGUCAAAAACAAAUAACUCUCAGAAUUAGGAUCACUGCAUGGAUUCAUUCUUCAGAUGUUCAUUCUAAAGAAAUAAAAUCUCUUAUGAACAGAGAGUUAUAAAAAGAAAGAAAAGAUACAAAAAUUGUGAUAUUGAUUGCAAGGUAAGGUAAGCAAUCAGGGAAGGAAGCUGGUGGGAGCAGACAAUAAGCUCUCAUAUCUCCUAGUCUAGAAGGACUUCCGGAGAUUAGAGCAUAAGGUCACCUUCACAGUUCCCUGAUGUAGCGGAAACAUGAUCAGGGAUAGUCUUGCUUCCUGAAUGGAUGAUCAAAGAUAGUCUUGCUUCUCGGGCAUAUUGAGUGCUUACUGAUAAGAAAAACAAGUAGAUAUCGCAUCACUAGGUAUGGAGUAAACUGGAUGUCUUCUGCAAAGAAAAUUUCGUUAGUAACACAUUUAUACACAAAUACAAUGAAUAGGUAGAACCGGUGAAUUUCAAAUUAACCAUAGGAAAAUUGCGAGAUUCUCGGGAUGCUGUUGAAAAAGUGCGAGAUUCUCGGGAUGCUUUUGAAAAAGUAGCUCCGUGAAAUCCGUAAAGCAAAAUCGGCUUUGAAAAUAAUGCUUGAAAACGCCGAAAGUGCCGACAGGCAUUAUUAGAGGCCACGUGAAGUUUUGGAUUCUAGGAAAGAAAAAGAUAAUAUGGGGAUUCGAGAAGAUAUUGGGGUCCUGAAAAACAGUAGCCAUAUUUCCUCCUAUAGAUAUGGCCUUUGUAAAACUUAAUUGGAGCAACUGCGUUUCGACUCAAAUUUCUUCAUUUUCUGAAACUUUAGUUUUCCUAAGACUUUCUUCGAAACCUUCUCAAAAAUGGCUUCCUCUUCUUCCUGCCCAAAUUAUUUCAAUUUAAAUGAUGCUCCAACAGCAAACAGUGACGCCAAAGUUUGGCGUCCAUCCUUUGUAUCCCAAAAUCGUCAUCUCACAGUUAAUGAUUCUGUGAUGAUGAAUGAUGCUACUGCUGUCAUAGUAGCUAGAAAUUUCAUUACUCCAAUGGAUGAAAUGCUGUUAACAGGGAGGUCUGAGGAAGAGGCUAUUGAUGACUCAAUGGCUUUUAGCAUUCAGAGUGCUGCUUCUGUUUCUAACAUGGCUGAUCGUUUGCGUGUUAGAGCAAACGAGGUUGAGAAGCUGACAACUGAAAAUUCGUCUCUCCAAAGAAUGCUUCAUGAGUCUCAACAGGAGGUUGAGAAACUUAAAGGAGAGAAUAAUUCCUUGUUGAAACUGGUGAGUUCGUACUCAGUUGAUACACUGAGAAGGCUAGACAUGCUGCAGGUCUCCAAUGAAAGAAUUUUGGGAGACCACGAGAAGCUCAUGGCUAAGCUUAAGAGGCGCCGUCCUCUUCCUUCAGAGGCUUCCAGAACAUAAUGUAAUUUUAUAGAUUUUACAGGGCCUGCACCUUCAUUGCAGGUGGAAAAAAUCUAUCUGUUGUAUGUUUCUGUAAUAAUAAUUGCGCACAUUCUUAAACUUGCACUUGUGGUUUUUACGUCUUUUCAAAAUGACGGUUUGGAACCUUGUGCCUUAUAGGUUCAAAUAACCACAUUGUCUCUCCCAAAUUGCAUGGUAGCCCGGAACUUUUGGCCUGGGCACAAACUCAGAAUUUAUUUGCCCUUUUCAAAUGGACAUGAAAUAUGAAUUGAGUAAAAGCCACGAUAAUAUCGCAAUAUAGUAGUGAAGAGCAUUAACUACUAUAUACCCACAACUUCAAGUUCAGGAUCUCUCAUAUAUUUGGAUCUAUGGGCUUCCGGCCCAGGUAUAAUAAAAUAUGUGGGGAGCCUCAAUUCAUUAUUUGAGGUUUAUAUUGAUAUUAUCCAUUUCGCGGUGUAUUCUUAACAACCGGAAUUCACAAAAUAUAUUUCUUCCUUGAGGUGUCGAUUAUAACAGAAUCGAACUUUAUUAAAUUCAUCAUCUUCUUAUGCCAAAGAAAUAUGUGGUGUACCACAAUUUGCAAUAAUACCUCAAGGGUUGUCCAUUUAAUUGUUGGAACUUCAGGUUCUCAAUACUCUUAAAUUUUGAACUUCAGGCCAAAGCCACAUAUUCUCAUGGUAUGGACAUUUUUACAAUUUUCUAUACAUAUUCCGGGACUUCAAGCCCUUACAUAAUUGUCCAUAUUUUGAGGAACUUCUGGCAUCUCAUUUAAUUUCUCAUCCAUGAGUUUAAGGAACUGCAGGUUCCCUUUUGUAUAUAGUGACGGUUUAUCCAAAAUGGUUAAUAUUUAUGCAUACGUUAUCAUCCAUGGCUCAUAUUUAUGCAUACGUCACUAUUCAUGUGAAUAGUACUGUUCAUCAAGUCAUGAAUACAUAUCUAUUCAUGUGUACAGUACAUCUGCCAGUACAGUUAUCAUCCAUGGCUCAUAUUUAUGCAUACGUCACUAUUCAUGUGAAUAGUACUGUUCAUCAAGUCAUAUCUAUUCAUGUGUACAGUACAUCUGCCAGUACAGUUAUCAUCCAUGUGUACGGCACUAUGAACCAAUACGGUACUAUUACAUCAUUAAGGAACCCCAGGUCCUUAUUCACAUGUCAGGGAUCAAGGACCUUUAAGUCCAAUCACAUGUUUACAAGUAUAGUACCGGAGAGACUGCUAGCUCUCAUAUCAAUAUCAUCAUCAAGGAUCUUCAAGUCCUGAUGUAAUUGUAUGAUGAGGAUCAAGGAACUUCUGGUCCUGAUCUGCACACUGUAAAAACUCAUCAUACAGCACAAUUAAUCCAUAAAAUAAAUUGCUGAUAAAUAAAUUACUGGUAUGGACGAUAAACCCGCACCAUACUUUAAAUAAAUUAAAUAGCUUGCUGUAUGGACGUUAAUCCCGCACCAUAUCUUAAAUAAAAUUAAAUGUGCGGUAAAGUAAACGUGCUUAUAUGGGCACUAAUUCUGCUCCAUACAUUUAAAUAAAAGCAAAGGCGUGGGCGAUUAACCCGCACCACCCUUUUAAAUAAAUACUGUUGUAUAGGUAAUAAACCUACACCAUACAGUAAAUAAAAAAAAUGUGGGAAUAAAAACACCACUGAACAAGAUAAGGAAAGUGUUAGUAUUAGUAACGGUCUCCCACUGAUAAUAUGUUUAGUAUUACCAAGGGUCCAUUUUUGUUAAUGGUUAGUAAUAGAAAAGCAGAUAAAUAUAGUAUAUUAUAUUACCAUCAACUUUUCAUAUAUAUAUAAUAUAUAUAUAUAUAUAUUAUACUGAUAUAUUAGUGGAAAGCUAGAUGCGUUGGCUUUUCUUCUUUACAUCAACAUAAUGGUUAGUAUUAUAAAUAAUAGUGCAGCACAAAAAUUAUACCUGAGAGCUUCUCGUGCUGAUAACGUGUUAUAAAAUAACCUGGGAUAUGUGCGAUAAUUCAGAGCUGCACGUAAAGUAGAUGAGACACAGCAUUUAACGAGGUUCGGCUAUGCCUACGUCCUCGGAGAGCAGCAGCAGUAACUUUUCCACUAUGUAAAAUAAUAGGGCUACAAGUUUAGUGUUUACAAUAUAUGUGGCUCAUUGAAUUUUCUCUCUAGGAGAAUUUCUCUCUGCUCUCUCUUUCCUCUUUCUUCCUUCUCUUCCUUUCUCUUUUUUUCUCCUCUUCUUCUUUCCGUUUCUCUUCUUAUUUAUAGGCUGAAAUAAUCACUAUUCAUCACUAUUCAUCACUGUUCACCCGUGACAGACAAACUCUAUCAAAGCCGCCAAAUGAACAGUAAUGAACAGUAAUGAAUAGUUAGUGGGCUCCACAUGUUUAUUCUUUUAUUCUUUUAUAACAAUAAGGUCAUUAUCAUCCAAUUGUUACAAAAUACGUCCU
rnacentral:lncRNA from 1 species